rnacentral:piRNA from 1 species
UGGUUGUCUUUUAAUCCAAGGUGCUGACAU